GUGGGGAAUAUUGGACAAUGGGCGAAAGCCUGAUCCAGCCAUGCCGCGUGUGUGAAGAAGGUCUUCGGAUUGUAAAGCACUUUAAGUUGGGAGGAAGGGCAGUAAGUUAAUACCUUGCUGUUUUGACGUUACCGACAGAAUAAGCACCGGCUAACUUCGUGCCAGCAGCCGCGGUAAUACGAAGGGUGCAAGCGUUAAUCGGAAUUACUGGGCGUAAAGCGCGCGGCGGUGGUUUUGUAAGUUGGGGGUGAAAUCCCCGGGCUCAACCUGGGAACUGCCUCCAAAACUGCAUGACUAGAGUACGGUAGAGGGUAGUGGAAUUUCCUGUGUAGCGGUGAAAUGCGUAGAUAUAGGAAGGAACACCAGUGGCGAAGGCGACUACCUGGACUGAUACUGACACUGAGGUGCGAAAGCGUGGGGAGCAAACAGGAUUAGAUACCCGUGUAGUCC
rnacentral:rRNA from 1 species